GUGGUAAUUCUAGAGCUAAUACAUGCGAAAAACCCCGACUUCGGGAGGGGUGUAUUUAUUAGAUAAAAAACCAAUGCCCUUCGGGGCUCCUUGGUGAUUCAUAAUAACUUAACGAAUCGCAUGGCCUUGUGCCGGCGAUGGUUCAUUCAAAUUUCUGCCCUAUCAACUUUCGAUUGUAGGAUAGAGGCCUACAAUGGUCUUAACGGGUAACGGGGAAUUAGGGUUCUAUUCCGGAGAGGGAGCCUGAGAAACGGCUACCACAUCCAAGGAAGGCAGCAGGCGCGCAAAUUACCCAAUCCCGAUACGGGGAGGUAGUGACAAUAAAUACUGAUACGGGGCUCUUUCGGGUCUCGUAAUUGGAAUGAGUACAAUCUAAAUCCCUUAACGAGGAACAAUUGGAGGGCAAGUCUGGUGCCAGCAGCCGCGGUAAUUCCAGCUCCAAUAGCGUAUAUUAAAGUUGUUGCCGUUAAAAAGCUCGUAGUUGAACCUUGGACCUGGCUGAUCUGUCCUCCUAAUCGAGCGCACGGAUUCGGUCGGGUCUUUCCUUCUGGGGAGCCCCAUGCCCUUCACUGGGUGUGGUGGGGAACCAGGACUUUUACCUUGAAAAAAUUAGAGUGUUCAAAGCAGGCCUUUGCUCGAAUACAUUAGCAUGGAAUAAUAGAAUAGGACAUCGGUUCUAUUUUGUUGGUUUCUAGGACCGCUGUAAUGAUUAAUAGGGACAGUCGGGGGCGUCAGUAUUCAAUUGUCAGAGGUGAAAUUCUUGGAUUUAUUGAAGACUAACUAUUGCGAAAGCAUUCGCCAAGGAUGUUUUCAUUAAUCAGUGAACGAAAGUUAGGGGAUCGAAGACGAUCAGAUACCGUCGUAGUCUUAACCAUAAACUAUGCCGACUAGGGAUCGGACGGUGGUUUUUUUAU
rnacentral:rRNA from 1 species